CCCCUAGAUGUUCUGGGCCGCACGCGCGCUACACUGAACAGUUCAACAAGUCUUAACCUUGGCCGAUAGGUCUGGGUAAUCUUUGAACGCUGUUCGUGAUUGGGAUAGACCUUUGCAAUUAUGGGUCUUCAACGAGGAAUUCCUAGUAAACGCAAGUCAUCAGCUUGCAUUGAUUACGUCCCUGCCCUUUGUACACACCGCCCGUCGCGCCUACCGAUUGAAUGGUCCGGUGAAAUCUCGGGACGGCGGCUUGGUCGCUUGCGUCCGACUGCUGAAACUUGAUUAAACCAUAUCAUUUAGAGGAAGGUGAANUCGUANCA
rnacentral:rRNA from 1 species